AACGAACGCUGGCGGCAUGCCUAACACAUGCAAGUCGAACGAAGGCUUCGGCCUUAGUGGCGCACGGGUGCGUAACGCGUGGGAAUCCGCCCUUUGGUUCGGAAUAACAGCUGGAAACGGCUGCUAAUACCGGAUGAUGACGAAAGUCCAAAGAUUUAUCGCCAGAGGAUGAGCCCGCGUUGGAUUAGGUAGUUGGUGGGGUAAAGGCCUACCAAGCCGACGAUCCAUAGCUGGUCUGAGAGGAUGAUCAGCCACACUGGGACUGAGAAACGGCCCAGACUCCUACGGGAAGCAGCAGUGGGGAAUAUUGGACAAUGGGCGCAAGCCUGAUCCAGCAAUGCCGCGUGAGUGAUGAAGGCCCUAGGGUUGUAAAGCUCUUUUACCCGGGAAGAUAAUGACUGUACCGGGAGAAUAAGCCCCGGCUAACUCCGUG
rnacentral:rRNA from 1 species